GACGAACGCUGGCGGCGUGCUUAACACAUGCAAGUCGAACGGUGAAGCGAGUGCUUGCACUCGUGGAUCAGUGGCGAACGGGUGAGUAACACGUGAGUAACCUGCCCAUCACUCUGGGAUAAGCACUGGAAACGGUGUCUAAUACUGGAUACGACCAACCCUUGCAUGGGGUGUUGGUGGAAAGAUUUAUCGGUGAUGGAUGGGCUCGCGGCCUAUCAGCUUGUUGGCGGGGUAAUGGCCCACCAAGGCGACGACGGGUAGCCGGCCUGAGAGGGUGACCGGCCACACUGGGACUGAGACACGGCCCAGACUCCUACGGGAGGCAGCAGUGGGGAAUAUUGCACAAUGGGCGAAAGCCUGAUGCAGCGACGCCGCGUGAGGGAUGACGGCCUUCGGGUUGUAAACCUCUUUCAGCAGGGAAGAAGCGAAAGUGACGGUACCUGCAGAAGAAGCACCGGCUAACUACGUG
rnacentral:rRNA from 1 species